CAAUUUGUGCGAGCUUCCAUCGCGAUUGUUCUACAAAAACAAACUUAAAACUAAAAGUCAAGAAAAUUGGAAAAAUGACAAUUUGACAAUGUGGCACAAUGCAGAAUACCCCAUGGUGUUCUGUAACUUAGAGGGCGUUGAAGAAUAUUUAUCGUUUACCACUGAAGAAGGAAAAGAAAUGUCACGAUUUAAUAUGAUGGAGGUUGCACAAGUGAUAAAAGUCUUCAGACAUACGGUGAAACGGGGAGGUGUAGCACCAGAAAAGAUAAACAUUGUGUCGCUGUAUAAUGCUCAAUGUAGCAAAAUUGUCCAGGAGCUUAGAAAUGUCCUGUGAAUACGGUCAUUGCAAGUCAAGGAGGCGAAUGGGAUUACGUAAUAUUUAGCUUGGUGAGAUCUCUUCCGCACUAUAGAAUUGAGCCUAAUCCUACAAAAGGUUGUUGCAUUGAAAACCUUGGAUUCAUCACGGAUGUUCAUCAAAUUAACGUUGCUCUUACCAGAGCUAAGAAAGGGCUGAUUAUCAUAGGAAACAAGGAAUUGAUGAAAUGUAGCAAGGAAUUAAAGUCCUUACUUGACGCUUUCGGAAGUCACGGUUGUGUAGAAGAUGCCGAAAAAUUUCCACCCAGUGGUAGAAGUAAAAGACGGAGCAGCUCUAGUCAUAAACAUGCAGAAAAUUUCGAAUUUUGAAUUUGUCUAUACCUCUUCUUAACAAGCCAUUUAUUUAUCUCCAUAUGGUGCGUAUUCGUGUUUCAGAGAACAGAUGUUGAAAAAGACAUAAUGAAACAGUUGGCGUCCUUCAAGUGUCUGUGAUGUAUUUUAAAUUUUGAAUUUUAUAAUAAUCUUCUUUGAGUUAUUUAUAACAAUUGUUAUCUUAUAA